GUAAAAGUAAGCUAAAUUCAAGCUACUGGGUCCAUACCCCAUUUAUAGAGGCUAACUCCUCUCUUUUCCA
rnacentral:tRNA from 1 species